rnacentral:rRNA from 1 species
UGGGGAAUUUUGCACAAUGGGGGAAACCCUGAUGCAGCGACGCCGCGUGAUUUAGAAGGCCUUCGGGUUGUAAAAAUCUUUUGUAUGGGAAGAUAAUGACGGUACCAUAAGAAAAAGCCCCGGCUAACUACGUGCCAGCAGCCGCGGUAAUACGUAGGGGGCUAGCGUUGUCCGGAAUCACUGGGCGUAAAGGGUUCGCAGGCGGAAAUGCAAGUCAGGUGUAAAAGGCAGUAGCUUAACUACUGUAAGCAUUUGAAACUGCAUAUCUUGAGAAGAGUAGAGGUAAGUGGAAUUUUUAGUGUAGCGGUGAAAUGCGUAGAUAUUAAAAAGAAUACCGGUGGCGAAGGCGACUUACUGGGCUCAUUCUGACGCUGAGGAACGAAAGCGUGGGUAGCAAACAGG